rnacentral:rRNA from 1 species
UGAGGAAUAUUGGUCAAUGGGCGCAAGCCUGAGCCAGCCAUCCCGCGUGCAGGAAGACGGCGCUAUGCGUUGUAAACUGCUUUUCCAGGGAGAGAAACUUGCGCACGUGUUGCGCAAUUGACGGUACCCUGGGAAUAAGCAUCGGCUAACUCCGUGCCAGCAGCCGCGGUAAUACGGAGGAUGCGAGCGUUAUCCGGAUUCAUUGGGUUUAAAGGGUGCGUAGGCGGACUAUUAAGUCAGUGGUGAAAUCCUGCAACUUAACUGCAGAGCUGCCAUUGAUACUGAUAGCCUUGAGUUUGGUUAAGGUAGGCGGAAUGUGUAAUGUAGCGGUGAAAUGCUUAGAUAUUACACAGAACACCAAUUGCGUAGGCAGCUUACUGAGCCGACACUGACGCUGAGGCACGAAAGCGUGGGGAUCGAACAG